rnacentral:rRNA from 1 species
AGCUCCAAUAGCGUAUAUUACAGUUGCUGCAGUUAAAAAGCUCGUAGUUGCAUUUCCGAGGCAAGGGAUUAGUCCGACCUUUGGUGGGUAUUUAAUCCUCUUGCCUCGUCCUUGAGUGGUGCUUCUUGGUAUUAAGUUAUCGAGGAGAUAGCCGCUCAUCGUUUACUGUGAGAAAAUUAGAGUGUUCAAAGCAGGCUUAUGCCGUUGAAUAUAUUAGCAUGGAAUAAUAAGAUAGGACCUCGGUACUAUUUUGUUGGUUUGAGAACCAAGGUAAUGAUGAAUAGGGACAGUUGGGGGUAUUCGUAUUCAGUUGUCAGAGGUGAAAUUCUUAGAUUUACGGAAGACGAACUACUGCGAAAGCAUUUACCAAGGAUGUUGUCA